rnacentral:lncRNA from 12 species
UAAUUAAAUACCUGGCAUAGGGAGAAGUAACAAAGAUUGCUGUUUUCAGAAGGGAAGCAUAGUGUUCUAGAUCCAUUCCUCCCUUCUUUUUUUUUUUUUUUAACAGAGGGAGAAACUGAGUCCUGAAAGGUUGUGACAUUCUUGAAGUUAUACAAAGAAGUAGCAUACAGCUCAUCUUGAAGUAAUAUGAGAGCAGCCUCUAGUUGAUUGGCACCCUCUUCAAGAGAAAUACUUUUGCUCAGCUUGCAUCACAUAUCUGGACCCUGGAUUCUACAAGAGGCCCUUGGAAUGUCACAUGAAGAUUGUCUCUGAUCCCUCAGUGUGGAGCAAAGAAGAUGUAAAUAAAUAAAUCAUAAGAAGACUAUUCUCCUCAGAGUGUGGUCCAUGGAUCGUCAGCAUCAGCAUCACCUGGGAGUGUGUUAGAAAUGCAGACUCUCAGGCCUAACUCCAGUUCUACUGAAUUAAAAUAUACAUUUAACAAAAUGCCCUGGUGAUUAAUAUACACAUUAAAGUUUGAAAAGCAGUGUGCUAGUGGGCUCCCUCUAUUUGGUACUUUGUAAUCCUCAAUAAUAAACUAUAGUAUCCUCCCA